GACGCUGAGGGACGAAAGCUAGGGGAGCGAAUGGGAUUAGAUACCCCAGUAGUCCUAGCCGUAAACGAUGGAGACUAGGUGUUGCCUGUAUCGACCCGGGCAGUGCCGAAGCCAACGCGUUAAGUCUCCCGCCUGGGGAGUACGCACGCAAGUGUGAAACUCAAAGGAAUUGACGGGGGCCCGCACAAGCGGUGGAGUAUGUGGUUUAAUUCGAUGCAACGCGAAGAACCUUACCAGGGCUUGACAUCCCGCGAAUCUUCCCGAAAGGGGAGAGUGCCUACGGGAACGCGGAGACAGGUGGUGCAUGGCUGUCGUCAGCUCGUGUCGUGAGAUGUUGGGUUAAGUCCCGCAACGAGCGCAACCCUCGUCCUUAGUUGCCAGCCUUAAGUGGGGCACUCUAGGGAGACUGCCGGUGAUAAACCGGAGGAAGGUGGGGAUGACGUCAAGUCAUCAUGCCCCAUAUGUCCUGGGCUACACACGUACUACAAUGGUCGGGACAACGAGCAGCCAACUUGCGAAAGCGAGCUAAUCUCUUAAACCCGGCCUCAGUUCAGAUUGCAGGCUGCAACUCGCCUGCAUGAAGGAGGAAUCGCUAGUAAUCGCAGGUCAGCAUACUGCGGUGAAUCCGUUCCCGGGCCUUGCACUCACCGCCCGUC
rnacentral:rRNA from 1 species